AGUCAAAGAAUAAGUCAAAGAAUAAUAUUACAUUUGCGCACAAGCAUACGACAUCAUGCGAGAAAAAAACGAUUUUAGUGGCCCCCUGUUGACAGCGGAGAGCAAAUGUUAUUUUUAAAGUUAAUUUCCUGCAAUUCUACACAUUUUCCCCAUGGGGUGUAGAGAAAAUGUUGUAGUUUUAACACUAGAACCGCUAAAGAAGUCAUUUCGACUGCCGAUGAAUGAAUUAAUCUGUCAUUUGUUUUAUCAUGCCCACCUUCCGUCCACGAGUCUUCUUAAAUAAGUCUAUAAAACACACUAUAAAACACAUUAGAAUCUUAAUAUCACAUUCAGAACUGGAUUUAUAACCAGGUUUAGGAGGGCAUGUCAUUUUUUGAAUGGAUUUCCCUCGUCGGCUCUUCUUCUCCCGACAGUUGAAAGUGCAGUACCCCUAGCUGAUAACCGAAACGAAUUUCACACAUAUAACAACAGAUGAGAUAAAUUAGGUAACCUAUGAUGGGGAGAAAGGAUGCGAACGGGACCUGAGCCCUAGGACCAUGCCCCAGGACUACCUGGCAUGAUGACUCCUUGCUGUCCCCAGUCCACCUGGCCAUGCUGCUGCUCCAGUUUCAACUGUUCUGCCUGCGGCUAUGGAACCCUGACCUGUUCACCGGACGUGCUACCUGUCCCAGACCUGCUGUUUUCAACUCUCUAGAGACAGCUCUUAUUUGACCAUGCUGGUCAUUUAUGAACAUUUGAACAUCUUGGCCAUGUUCUGUUAUAAUCUCUACCCGGUACAGCCAGAAGAGGACUGGCCACCCCUCAUAGCCUGGUUCCUCUCUAGGUUUCUUCCUGGGUUUUGGCCUUUCUAGGGAGUUUUUCCUAGCCACCGUGCUUCUACACCUGCAUUACUUGCUGUUUGGGGUUUUAGGCUGGGUUUCUGUACAGCACUUAUAUCAGCUGAUGUAAGAAGGGCUAUAUAAAUGCAUUUGAUUUGAUUUGAUUAGAAAAGAGAGGGACUGAGUUCAUUCACAACACACUGUAGAAAGGAGAGGGACUGAGUUCAUUCACAACACACUGUAGAAAGGAGAGGGACUGAGUUCAUUCAGACACUGUCUGCUAUCCGCCCGGUACAAUUUAAACCGGGAUUGAUCUAUGAAGAAUCACACUUCUCCAGCGUGCCAGUGGCCACCGAAGGUGAACAUUUGCCCACUGAAGUCGGUUACGACGCCGAACGGCAGUCAGGUCAAGAUCCUGGUGAGGACGACGAGCACGCAGAUGUGCUUGUUGACCAGUAAGGGUUAUUAAGAAGGUAGGGGCAGAUAUUGUUGAGCGGUUGUCAUACCGCUGAUAAUAAAAGUUGAUCAGGUGACCUGAAACACCUUGGAAAACCCUGGUCUAGAGGAGGAUGAUCUGGCCAAUCAGCGGUCUACUCUCAUGAAUAUUUUGAACGACUGGUAUACGCCCACAACAUUCCAACACAUAAAAUCUGCUUUUUAACAUACAAUAAAAGUUAAAUGGUAAUUAAGUAAUUAAUUAUAGGUAAUAUUUCAUAGAAAUCUGGAAACACUGGACAGUAGCUUCGGGGUGGCAGGUAGCCUAGCGGUUAGCGCGUUGGGCCAGUAACCAAAAGGUUGCAAGAUCAAAUCCCUGAGCUGACAAGGUAAAAAUCUGUUGUUCUGCCCCUGAACAAGUCAGUUAACCCACGGUUCCUAGGCUGUCAUUGUAAAUAAGAACUGGUUCUUAACAGACUUGCCUAGUUAAAUAAAGGUCAAAUAAAAAUACAUCUGAAUGGAAUGACAGCAAGAAUAAGACAACCCCUGAAGGUGACAAGUCAAACCUCAAUGAUGAGAUCAGAGGAUUUAACAAACUGAAGUCAACUGAGGACAUUCAGUUGUUUUCUUUCUCAAUUUCCACCCUUGUCUCCCACAGUCAUCUGCCCCCUUGUGGCCGGCUUGGGAACAGCUUGGAUCUUCUUGUCCCAUGAGUGACCUUUGAGCGCUGCUGGACUUCCAGCACAAGAACUUCACAUGUCCACUUGAUGAGGACUCAGUUAACUGGAGCCUUUACCCAUGAUAUAAACCACAGAGCCAGUCUAAAACCCAUGAUAUAAACCACAGAGCCAGUCUAAAACCCAUGAUGCAAUAGAGAACAAUAAAAUAAACACCUAUUAAACACAUCUCUGUCCA
rnacentral:lncRNA from 1 species